rnacentral:rRNA from 1 species
UUUUAUUUAAAUUUUUAUUAAAAAUAAUUAUAAAAUUUAAAAUGUUUUAUUAUUGAAUAUAGAAUAAAUAAUUUAUUAUUAUAGAGUAUUAGUAUUGUAAAAGAAUAUUGAAAUAUAUUGAAAAAUUUUUAUUUUAAAAGAUAAUAUAAUAUAUUGUACCUUGUGUGUCAGGGUUUAUUAAAUAAAAUAUAUACAUAUAAUAUAUCUAUAUAUAUAUCUCUAUAUUUGAUAUAUUGAUUGAUUGAAUAAUAUAUUUCUCGAUUUUAAAAGAGCUAAUAAAGUAUAUUAUAUAAUGUGAUAAAAUUAUUUAAAAAUAUUUUAUUAGAAAUGAAAUGUUAUUCGUUUUUAAAGGUGUCUAGUUUUUUAAGAAAUAAAUUUAAUUUAGAAAUUUUUGAGUAUGAUUAUUUAUUAUAAAUAAUAAUUUGUUUAAUUAUUUUAGUAUUUUAUGGGAUAAGCUAUAAAAUAAAAGAUUUAAAAAUUUUUUUUUAUAAAAAAAAAUAUAUGCUUAGAAUUAGCAAUUAUUAAUAAUUAUGUUAUAAUAUAUUUUUGUGUAAAAAUUAUUUAGUUAAAUUUUAAAUUUUUUAUUAAAAUGGUAAUUUUAAUUUUUAAAGUUAAAUAAUAAUGAUAAAAUUAGUAUAUUAAAAAUAGUAUAAAUAUUUUUUAAUGGUAAGUUUUAUUAAAGAAUUCGGCAAAUUUUAAUGUUCGCUUGUUUAACAAAAACAUGGCCUUUAGAAAUUAAUUUAAGGUUUGACCUGCCCACUGAAAUUUUUUAAAUGGCCGCAGUAUUUUAACUGUGCAAAGGUAGCAUAAUCAUUAGUUUUUUAAUUGAAAGCUUGUAUGAAUGGUUGGACGAAAUAUUAACUGUUUCAUUAAAAUUUAUAAUAGAAUUUUAUUUUUUAGUUAAAAAGCUAAAAUAAUAUUAAAAGACGAGAAGACCCUAUAGAUCUUUAUAAUGAUUUUAUUUUGAUUAUAAAGAUUAUUUUAAUUAUAAUAAUUAAAUUAUUUUAUUGGGGUGAUAUUAAAAUUUAAAUAACUUUUAAAAUUAAAUUUACAUUAAUUUAUGAGUAUUUGAUCCAUUAUUUAUGAUUAUUAAAAUAAGUUACCUUAGGGAUAACAGCGUAAUUUUUUUGAAGAGUUCUUAUCGAUAAAAAAGAUUGCGACCUCGAUGUUGGAUUAAGAGAUAAUUUUAGGUGUAGCCGCUUAAAAAUUUAAGUCUGUUCGACUUUUAAAUUCUUACAUGAUCUGAGUUCAAACCGGCGUAAGCCAGGUUGGUUUCUAUCUUUAAUUAAGUUAAAUAUUUUAGUACGAAAGGACCAAAUAUUUGAAAAAAAUUUUUUUGUUUAAAAGAAUUAAAUUAAUGUUUAUAUUAAAAAA